CAGCCGCCGCGGGAACACAGAGGGUGCGAGCGUUAAUCGGAUUUACUGGGCGUAAAGCGUGCGUAGGCGGCUUUUUAAGUCGGAUGUGAAAUCCCUGAGCUUAACUUAGGAAUUGCAUUCGAUACUGGGAAGCUAGAGUAUGGGAGAGGAUGGUAGAAUUCCAGGUGUAGCGGUGAAAUGCGUAGAGAUCUGGAGGAAUACCGAUGGCGAAGGCAGCCAUCUGGCCUAAUACUGACGCUGAGGUACGAAAGCAUGGGGAGCAAACAGGAUUAGAUACCCCUGUAGUCCCUGUCUCUUAUAC
rnacentral:rRNA from 1 species